GAGAGUUUUAGAAUACUAGGAGCGCCUCGUGGCUGUGAAGAUGCUGCCUGACCUGCUCAGUAUGUCCAGCACCCUUUUCAUUUAUCAUUCUCAGAAUGAGUACUCACGUGCAUCUCCCCAACCCUCCAGUAGAUGGAACUAUUUGACAUCUGUGGGCAGGAUCAAUGCCAAAUUAAGGAUUUCCAGCAUCUGCAGUAGUGUGCUUUUGUGCAGAAUAUGGUGAAGGCGCAGUGUAAAGAUCUGUGACUUCCUGAAGUACACCCUGUCGUCAUUUUCAGUGAAGACACAUGAGCAGAUUUACCUACUUACAUUGUUCCAAAGAGUUUUUGGUGUGUCUGUGAAAGCAGUCUAUAAAAUAUUUUUUUCUCCCUGAGUUUAAUGUGGUUAUUUUGUUUCAAACUGAAGUUGAUUUCUUCUUGUAACAAAUCUCAACCACAGCUUGAAUUGGAAAGGGAUUGACACAGAAACACACAAUAGGUGUCUGCUCUGGGAGAUCUCCCAUAAAGCUUAUAUUCCAAGUCCAGGAACCUGAAGGAGGCCCAGUACCAACUUGGCACAGGACUUUCUGCAAGAGCUGGGAUCUCAUUCUUUCCAGUACAGUAACGUGGCCGAUUCUGUUUGCGUACAUGGACCCAACCUUGAUGGCUAAAGCCACAGUACAAGCAGCAGAUUACUGGGAUUGCUCUGGUGAAGCCCAAUUGUGUGACACUGGCUCCAUUGGGAAUGGACCUGCUAUCCUUUCUGAGGGAGACGGCACUGACCCUCAGGUGUCUACCCUUCCACCAUUAUCCCUGCUGCUACUGCUCACCAUCCAGUUCAGACCACUGCUGCCUGUCCAAGGUGAGCCAGUCCAAACUCAAGCCUUCGAGAUCAACCUCUCAGAAUAUCUGCCAUUUUUAUUGGGAAGAAUAAGCUGCCCACCGCAGUGACUGAGUCAGGACCGUGUGGGUGCAUUAGGAAGCAACGGGACAUGCAAGAAAGACAAUGACAAAUGCAGAAUUUGACUUUUGCAUACAACAUAGCCCGAUCUCAUUUAUAAACCUGGUUUGGAAUAUUUCUUCUUAAUGGCAUUUAAUUUGCAUUUUGUGAGCGAGCAGGUGCUGAGAUGAUCGGUGGCAGGGGGCAGAUGUGUGGGGAUUUGGGGUUGCAAUUACUGACAUUUCAUUUGAAUUAGUUCUUGACAUUGAGGCCAGGAAGCAAGUGAUUAUCCUCGGUUGCCGCCUCGUUUUUCUUUCCUGUUCUCCCACUCCUGCUUCUCAGCCCUUUGUCACGUAGCUGGUGGCAAGGGCCAUCCACUUACGUUAGGAGGUUGUGCAGCAUGUAGCGGACCACAACAGGUCUUGAUACCCACUGUGCCAAGUACUGUGCAUUGCUCUGUCACAGCUCAUGCUGUGGCAUGAGUUUCACUGUAUGAUGGUCCCUGUGUGUGCAAGGCUUGCAAAUAGGAGUCUUGGGCCACGUGCUCUAGUCAUCCAGUAAGCACCUUUUGGGUUACUCAAAUGCAGAGCAGAUGACAACCUGAUAGGUGUCUGGGUACUGGGCAUUGAAUUGCCUU